GAUUAUUUUUAAACAAGAAAUAUAAUAAUAACUAUUUAUCAUUCAAUACAAUUAAUGCAUGAUAUUUGUGGAGCCGUGCAGAUCUUUUCCAUAAACUUGCCAAUCGGUUUGUGGUUGCUACGCAGCGCGGUGCAAUAUAUAUCUAAAUAAGGUUAUCUUUCCUACUUAUAAAAAGUUAAGUUGGUGGUGAGUUCAGUCACCUAUAACCUAUUCAUCCUCUUUCAACCUAUCCAUUAUCCAUGGGAUCCAUCUAAAUAAAAUACAUAUAAAACAGACAGUGAG
rnacentral:lncRNA from 1 species